CGGAAGUAAAAGUCGUAACAAGGUUUCCGUAGGUGAGCCUGCGGAAGGAUCAUUAAAAAAUAUCACUCGAUUGAGAGUGAUUUAUAAUCAUCCUACCCUUUGUGAAUUUGUUGUUUGUAAUAAUUUUUUUUGAUUUUAAAAAAAAAUUAUUUAUGGUUUUGUCUAUCCCUAAAAUUGGUUUGUUUGUUGUAAAGACAGUGAAUCAAAUUUAGGGAAUAGGCUUUCAUAAAUAAGUUUUUUUUAAAGUCUUAAAGACCUUUUUUUAAAAUUAAACUUUUGUAUUCAUUUGUCUAAAUUUUUUUAAAUAAUUUAAAAACAACUUUUGACAAUGGAUCUCUUGGUUCUCGCAACGAUGAAGAACGCAGCAAAAUGCGAUAAGUAAUGUGAAUUGCAGAAUACGUGAAUCAUCAAAUCUUCGAACGCAUAUUGCACUUUUUUAGUUUACUAAAAAAGUAUGUCUGUUUGAGUAUCAGUAAAAUAUUCUCAUAAAAACAUUUUUGUUUUUAUGGUUAUGAGUGUUUUACAACGAUAAACAAGUUGUUUCACUUUAAAUUCAUUUUAAUUUAAGACCAUUUAUGGUUUUAAUAAUUAAAAUUGGAUAAAAUUUUCCCGUAAAAAGGAAUAAACUUUUCAGUUUUUAAUUAGACAAUCACGGUCCGAUUUAAAAGGAAAUUUAUAAUUUAAAUAACUUGAUCUCAAAUCAGAUAAGAGUACCCGCUGAACUUAAGCGUAUCAAUAAGCGGAGGAAAAGGAACUAACAAGGAUUCCCUUAGUAACGGCGAGUGAAGCGGGAAGAGCUCAAAUUUGAAAUCUUCAAGGUUCUACCUUGACGAAUUGUAGUUUAAAGAAGUGUUUUCUGUUAGAUGAGUAGCAAAAGUUCCUUGGAAUGGGACAUCAUAGAGGGUGAGAAUCCCGUAUUUGGUUAUUCAUUCUAGCUUUGUGAUACACUUUCAAAGAGUCGGAUUGUUUGGGAAUGCAGUCCAAAAUGGGUGGUAAAUUUCAUCUAAAGCUAAAUAUUGGCGAGAGACCGAUAGCGAACAAGUACCGUGAGGGAAAGAUGAAAAGAACUUUGAAAAGAGAGUUAAACAGUACGUGAAAUGUCAAAAGGGAAGCGUUUGACACCAGUGUUGUUUUUCCGAAAAUCAAUUACGAAUGGCUUGAUUUUGUGUUGUAUUGACCUUAUCAGCUUUCUGCACUUUUUUCGAGUCUUUCUUAAUGCACUUUUCGGUUAACAAGUCAACAUCAAUUUCUUUUGUUGUAAAAGAGUAUUCGGAAGGUGGCUUUCUUUUCGGAGAAAGUGUUUAUAGCCCUAUACUUCUACAAUCGGAGAGAUUGAGGUCUGCAGCGUAGAUCCUUCGGGGUUAGAUACAUUUGUGCUAAGUUGUAGCUUUUCAUAGACAACUUGUUGACUAUGUUUAGUCAUGCGGCUUACUCGCUUAUGCUAUUCUACCUAC
rnacentral:misc_RNA from 1 species